AUGUCAGAACCAACACUUCAGGAGUCUGGCCCAGCACUGGUGAAACCCUCACAGACACUGUCUCUCACCUGCCUUGUCUCUGGGCAGUCUGUAACCAGCAGUUACUACUGGAACUGGAUCCGCCAGCACCCUGGUAAAACGCUGGAGUGGAUGGGAUACUGGACAGGAAGCACAAAUUAUAACCCGGCUUUCCAGGGCCGCAUCUCCAUCACUGCUGACACGGCCAAGAACCAGUUCUCCCUGAAGCUGAGCUCUGUGACUGCCGAAGACACCCCUGUGUAUUACUGUGCAAGAAAAAUGGAAAGGGAGUUUUAUAGGGAUUACGGGUAUGGGUUAGGGACCCAAAGAAUUUCAGGAACUCUCUGCUGUCUGUUUGAUCAUUCUAUCCAGGCUGUUUCCAGCUGGUGCCAUUAA